UACACUCCUGCGGGAGGCAGCAGUGGGGAAUAUUGGACAAUGGGCGCAAGCCUGAUCCAGCCAUGCCGCGUGAGUGAUGAAGGCCCUAGGGUUGUAAAGCUCUUUCACCGGUGAAGAUAAUGACGGUAACCGGAGAAGAAGCCCCGGCUAACUUCGUGCCAGCAGCCGCGGUAAUACGAAGGGGGCUAGCGUUGUUCGGAUUUACUGGGCGUAAAGCGCACGUAGGCGGACUAUUAAGUCAGGGGUGAAAUCCCGGGGCUCAACCCCGGAACUGCCUUUGAUACUGGUAGUCUUGAGUUCGAGAGAGGUGAGUGGAAUUCCGAGUGUGGAGGUGAAAUUCGUAGAUAUUCGGAGGAACACCAGUGGCGAAGGCGGCUCACUGGCUCGAUACUGACGCUGAGGUGCGAAAGCGUGGGGAGCAAACAGGAUUAGAAACCCGGGUAGUCCCA
rnacentral:rRNA from 1 species